AUGGAGCAGGCAUGCCCCUCCGUUCAAACAGCAGACCCCGUCAGAUGUCCCCAGCACCAGGCUGCCAGCCAACAAGAGGGCAACUCCACACAGCUGCAUUGCAAAGCAGCAGACCAGGGCGAGCUACUAACAUGUGGACGCCACCACUCCACAAUUUGCUUAAAAGCCACACUGUGUUUCCUGGACAAUGGCUGCAGGCCAAAGCACACACAUUCCAGUUUUUACGACUGUAAGUUGUUCCUGCUAACAUCAAAUCAAGACAGAAACUCUUGUAUUGCCCAUGUAAGAUUCCCCAAGUCCCUCAUCGUACAGACCCAAGAAGGAAGCGUGUAAAAACAGCCAAGGUAAAAGUUGAAGGUCCUGGUUGGGAUCUGUGGUCCACUCCGCUGCUGCUUGUAUCUCUAGGCAUUAAAGGGUUCUGAAGCUGCAUUUAGGCCUUUCCAGAGAGAACGCUGUCAUCCAUCAGUAAAAGAUGCCCUUGCUAUGGGCACAGGAUUGGACAGUGGAAAGACGAAUAUUAUAUAUUUGUUGGGUUGGGUCAUCUCCUCAGUCCCUUCCUAUUCUAAGAUUUUGCAAUAAGAGCCUUGAGCAGGAGUCAUAGGUUUCCUUCUUGAACUUAAACGAGAAAACUAGGUUAAGGGACAUGCUGUGAUGUUCUGGAUGUCCAAACACAUCUGUGACCUGCUCCAAGGGCUUUCAGAGAAGGCCUCUCCUUUGCAACUUUAUGACCCAGAAGGCCUGAAUCCCCAUUACAUAUGAUCCAGUUUCAGUCCCACCAAAGUUCUCACUGGUAUUUCUCUGUGCACACAUUUUGCCCUGAUGUCAGCUAGUGAGACUCAGGCUCUGGAGAGUGGCUGAACCUUGGCAACCUCCAUUUACUUGAUGCAAGUCACAGGCAAGCAGUGCUUAUUGAAGAGUUAUCCCUUAGCCAUUGCAGGUGAGGGGAUAUGCAAAGUUCAGCUGGCUCGCAGUCCUCAGAAAAGGUCAGCUACAAGAAAAGAGGCACUAUUUCUCAGAGGCUGUCCAGCAUGCCGCAACCUUGUAUGUGUCUGACUCAUGGGGCAGCUCAGGAAGAGAUACUUUGAGAAGUUGAAGACAUUUGCCUCUUAACUCCAUAUAGAGGCAAAGACACGGGUUCAGGUUAUUUUGCCCCAACUCAGCUUGAAAUCUCCAAUUCCCUUCUACUCAUCCCUCUUGGCCAGUUUGCCUGAACUGGCUUCUAGGGAAGAUUUGAGGUAGGUGUUUAUCACCUGGAGGAAAAAGCUCCAUGUGAAUGACUAUGAAAGAAUGGGAGAACUGGUUAAGAGCCCAGCUCUAGAGAUGAUUGUAUCUAGGUUCAAAUCUCAGCCCCGCUGCUUUCUAGCUAUGUGACCUCAGACAACUUACUUAACUCCUCUAAACCUCAGUAUUCCCAUCAGAAAAGUAGAGAGAAUAACAGUACCUUCCUCAUAUUUGUUAGAGUAACUGGCUGGGCGCGGUGGCUCACACCUGUGAUCCCAGCACUUUGGGAGGCUGAGGCAGGCGAAUCACGAGGUCAGGAGUUCAACAUGGGCCUGGCCAACAUGGUGAAACCCUGUCUCUACCAAAAAUACAACAAUGAGCUGGGCAUGGUGGCAGGCACCUGUAAUCCCAGCUACUCAUGAGGCUGAGGCAGGAGAAUCACUUGAACCCAGGAAGCAGAGGUUGCAGUGAGCCAAGACUGUGCUACUGCACUCCAGCCUGGAUAACAGAGCGAGACUCUUGUCUCAAAAAAAAAAAAAAAAGUUAAAUGAGAUCAUAGUUACUGCUGCUAUUAUUGGUAUUAUUAAUUCAGACCAUUAGGGUGCACCUACUCUGAACAGGUUGGAGUACAAAGAAACUGUUCUUUACUUCACAGAGUUCGUGGUCAAUUCCAAUUUUAGCUGUGUGCCAAGUGCCAAAUCAGAUACUUGUUCACAAUACAAGGAAGGAAGGAUUAGUUCAACCUGGGAAUCAAGAGAAGUUUCUUUACAGAGUCCAUAAUAUUUGAACCUUGAAGAAGGAAUAAGAUUUUGCCGCAAGUCUUCAAGGAAUCAGCAGAUAGAAAGAGGUACAAAGGCUACUCUGUGAGCUUUGAGUGUAGGCUGUGCCAGGAGAUGAGGAAGUCCCUGGAUUUACUCUCAAAUGGAACUCCUGAUCCCAGGAGGGAAUACCCCAGGCAUCAGAAGAUCUGAUUUGACCCUGGAUUCCUGUGUCACCUCAGUCGAGUCACCUUACUUCUCUGUGCCUCCAUGUCUAGCGUUAAAUGAGGUUGACUUCCUGCAGGGAUGCUCCAUGAAGCUGGAUCUUUUAAGUGAGAGGUGUGAAAAAACUUUGGGGAAUUGAAAGAGCUAUUCAAACAAAUAACAAUAGCAGUAACAAAUGUUACCCAGCACUUACUACACGCCAGGCACUGUAUCAAGGGCUUGCAAGCAUUAUCUUAUCACAAUAACCAUUCUGUUGCCAUUUUACAGAUGAGGAAACCGCAUGUGAGAGCAGUAACUAGAUCUAAGUAAUGCAACUAGUAGGUGCAGAGCUCAUGUUGAUGUGCCAGUGAGGGACAAGGGUGGUGGUCCUCUUCCCCACCCCUAGACGUGCUAGAGCUUUUUAAUUAUCUUGAGUUAUAACUAGACUGAUUUCCUCAUUGCUCAGAUGAGAAACUGAGGCAUCGAACAAUGCCUGCCCAGAAGCGGAUAUGGGGUGUAGGGACAGUGCCCUGCUUGACUCCAGCUUGCUGACCACUAGAGAGGCAGAGAGGAUUCUGGGUUCCUCUGUGCUUUGCUUGGAAGAUUAGAUCCACAGCACAUCACUCUUUCCUUGCCCAGUGGGUACCAAGAGGAUCUCAAAUGCCAAGUUUCAUCCAAGCACACCCCAGGAGUCACUGUCUGGAUCAGGAGCAGCCAGAUCACAAAACACAGGCCUCCCCCUCUUACACAGUUCUUGGGGCCAUCACUUGGCCAGAGGCCCCAGUUUCAGAAUACCCCACUGGAGAUCCCAUGUUUACUGGGAAGAGUUCUCUUAUUUCCUCUCAAAGAACAUUGGCAGAACAGGGCUAAGGGAAAGAGGGCUUGGGUUCACCAGUGCCUCCAGGCACAAAGGGGAAGGACCAGCCAUGAGAAGUUGAGAAGGAAGCUGGCUGGGGCUCCUGGGCAGGCCUAAAAGGGAGAAUGGGGGCGGUGUGUUUGGAAGCUGGGGAUAGCUGAGGGUCAUAGAUAGAGAGAGGAUGCUCAGGGCAUCCAAAGAAUUUCAUCUAUUGAGAAAGCUAGGAAGUAAAAGUUCCCAAGGAAAAGGGUUGGCAUCCAUACUUCCUGGAGCUGGGGGAAAGCCUUUUAAAAGGAGGAAAUGGAGGGUGCUGGCACAUAGGACAGGGGUAUAGAAGGGUGACUGGGGUGCUGGCUAUCCACCUGGGUCCCUACAGCUUCCUCCAUUCUAGCAACCUGUCAAAUUUUCUUCUUCCUGUUUCUCUUUUUCUUCUUCCUCUUCUACAUCACAGUUAUUGAGGGCUACCUCUAGGCCCGGCACAGCGCUAACAGCUUCAUAUGCCUCAUCUUAUAUAAGCUGCAUAACAACCCUAGGAGGUCGAUAAUAUAUAAAGAUAUUAGAGAGAAGGAAACUAAAGUUCAGAGAGUGUUAAAUAAACACCUCAGGGCCACAGGUCUAAUGCACUAUCCACAUCCAAACCUACUCCUUACUUCACAGGCAAGGCGGUAUGAUAUUCCCACUGUACCGCCUUGCCUAUGAAACCUUUGUGUAGACAGGGAGCCUAUCCAAGAGCUGCCUAUGAGAGGCCGAGCUUGGGCUAAGUCUCUUACCCUUCCGUGAGGGAAGGUACCAGCUGUGGCACAGUGAAAUCAAUGGAGGGAACUUUGUUCAAAACAGAGAUGUGAGAGUACUCAGUUGUUCUCAGGCAAGGAUAUAAGAAAGCUGUGUGCAUUUUAAGAGUUGAAGAAAGCAGCAGCCCCAGCCCAGGGGAAGGAAUCAGAGACCAGGAAGAAAGCUCAAUAUUCUAGGCUGAUGAGGGGGGUGAACUUUGAAACCAGGCCUUGACCAAUGAUGCUUUUGACAGUGUCAUCUUUAGAAGACAGAUGAACAAGUCAGGGCAAGCCAGGAGAGAGUAAGAUCCUGGUGCAACCAUGAUGAGACUCAAGCUGAAGCCUCACUCAGGAAUGGUGAGGACUACACUUUACCAGUUGCACUGUGAGCCAGUGAGAAACUGUACCACCGGAAGACUGGCCACGGUCCAAGUCACCUCAGUAUGUAUCCAAUAAAGACUGGCCACCCUUUGGGCUAAGCGAAGCCCUGGGGUUUUUGGUAAUUAAGGGGUAGUGGAAGCAUCUAGGCUCCCUUUAUUAAGGCAUGUGAGGAUUUCAGGGAAUUCAAUGGAAGAAUGAGAAAACGAAUCCUAUCUGGAUCGAGGUUGCUCCACAAGCAGUGAUGUGACUGAGUUUUUCUUUACUCUUCUUAUUGGUCUUUCCAUUCCAUUAGCAUGAUAUGGGAAUAAAGAGCAGUUGGGAUAACUUACUCAAG
rnacentral:lncRNA from 1 species